AACUUAAGCAUAUCAAUAAGCGGAGGAAAAGAAACCAACAGGGAUUGCCCCAGUAACGGCGAGUGAAGCGGCAACAGCUCAAAUUUGAAAUCUGGCCCCCCCGCGGGGCCCGAGUUGUAAUUUGCAGAGGAUGCUUUUGGCGCGGCGCCUUCCGAGUUCCCUGGAACGGGACGCCAUAGAGGGUGAGAGCCCCGUCUGGUCGGACGCCCAGCCUCUGUAAAGCUCCUUCGACGAGUCGAGUAGUUUGGGAAUGCUGCUCAAAAUGGGAGGUAUAUGUCUUCUAAAGCUAAAUACCGGCCAGAGACCGAUAGCGCACAAGUAGAGUGAUCGAAAGAUGAAAAGCACUUUGAAAAGAGGGUUAAACAGUACGUGAAAUUGUUGAAAGGGAAGCGCUCGUGACCAGACUUGGGCGCGGCGGAUCAUCGGCGUUCUCGCCGGUGCACUCCGCCGGGCCCAGGCCAGCAUCGGUUCGCGGCGGGGGACAAAGGCGUCGGGAACGUGGCUCCCCUCGGGGAGUGUUAUAGCCCGUCGCGCAAUGCCCCGCCAGCGGACCGAGGUACGCCGUCCGCAAGGAUGCUGGCGUAAUGGUCACCAGCGACCCGUCUUGAAACACGGACCAAGGAGUCGUCUUCGUAUGCGAGUGUUCGGGUGUCAAACCCCUACGCGUAAUGAAAGUGAACGCAGGUGAGAGCUUCGGCGCAUCAUCGACCGAUCCUGAUGUUCUCGGAUGGAUUUGAGUAAGAGCAUACGGGGCCGGACCCGAAAGAAGGUGAACUAUGCCUGUAUAGGGUGAAGCCAGAGGAAACUCUGGUGGAGGCUCGCAGCGGUUCUGACGUGCAAAUCGAUCGUCAAAUAUGGGCAUGGGGGCGAAAGACUAAUCGAACCUUCUAGU
rnacentral:rRNA from 1 species